ensembl:lncRNA
GUGUGGUAUCUCCGUAAUGGUGAGCUGUGUGGUAUCUCCAUAAUGGUGAGCUGUGUGGUAUCUCCGUAAUGGUAAGCUGUGUGGUAUCUCCGUAAUGGUGAGCUGUGUGGUUCUCUUGGUGUUGGUAUCUGUAAUGGUAAGCUCUAGUAUCUCCAUAACGGUGAGCUCUCUAGUAUCUCCAUAAUGGUGAGCUGUGUGGUAUCUCCAUAACGGUAAGUUCUGUUUAUCUAUUGGUGUAGUAUCUCCGUAAUGGUGAGCUGUCUGGUAUCUCCUUAAUGGUAAGUUCUGUUUCUCGGUAUGCUAUCUCCGUAAUGGUGAGCUGUGUGGUUCUCUUGGUGUGGCAUCUGUAAUGGUAAGCUCUAGUAUCUCCGUAAUGGUGAGCUGUGUGGUAUCUCUUGGUGUUGGUAUCUGUAAUGGUAAGCUCUAGUAUCUUCAUAAUGGUGAGCUGUGUGGUAUCUCCGUAAUGGUGAGCUGUGUGGUAUCUCCAUAACGGUAAGUUCUGUUUAUCUAUUGGUGUAGUAUCUCUGUAAUGGUGAGCUGUGUGGUUCUCUUGGUGUGGCAUCUGUAAUGGUGAGCUGUGUGGUUCUCUUAGUGUUGGUAUCUGUAAUGGUAAGCUCUAGUAUCUCCAUAAUGGUGAGCUGUGUGGUAUCUAUAAUGGUAAGCUCUAGUAUCUCCGUAACGGUAAGCUGUGUGUUUAACUCUUGGUGUGGUAUCUGUAAUGGUAAGCUCUAGUAUCUCCGUAAUGGUGAGCUGUGUGGUAUCUCCGUAAUGGUGAGCUGUGUGGUUCUCUUGGUGUUGGUAUCUGUAAUGGUAAGCUCUAGUAUCUCCAUAACGGUGAGCUGUGUGGUAUCUCCAUAACAGUGAGCUGUGUGGUAUCUCCGUAAUGGUGAGCUGUGUGGUUCUCUUGGUGUUGGUAUCUGUAAUGGUAAGCUCUAGUAUCCCCGUAAUGGUGAGCUGUGUGGUGUCUCCAUAAUGGUGAGCUGUGUGGUUAUCUCUUGGUGUGGUGUCUCCAUAAUGGUGAGCUGUGUGGUUAUCUCUUGGUGUGGUAAUGGUAAACUGUGUGGUUAUCUCUUGGUGUG